CUGAUUUUUUUAAUCGAAAGCCUAUUUACACAACUACCUAUAACCGUACAGACUAUAUUUGUUUUCUAUGCAUUUCGUUUCGUCCGUCGAUGCCAUUAAGGUUAGAAAACGACGGAUGUUAAAUCGUUGAUGCUCGUUAUUUUCGUUCUGCAUGGAGCGAUGAUGACCGUUCGUCAAGAGAGCUGGAAUGACGUGUUUUCUCAGACUCAGUGUAAUUUAAUUCGCUUGCAGCUAUAAGUGUCACCAUUUCGGAACGUCUUUGACCAUCUGUUGUUCUACUGCGAAAUCCACAUAUAUAGCAUAACGCAUGGCUAACCAUCUACGAGAUAUAUUGUCUUCCACUUCCAGUAAGGGGGUGUUCAUUAUUUAUACCCGCGGGGUUGGCACCGAAGAGAAAUGGGUUGGGUAAGCCAUUUUUCUGGGGCAUGAAGGGUUGGAUAAAUAUUUUUUGAACAAAGCCUAUGGUUGGGUAAAUUAUUUUCAAUACAAACCUUCAAUUGAACAAAAUAUGAAAAUCCUUUAUUUAACAAAAUCGUCAUUCCAGGAAAUAUCCAUUCAUUCCCCACAUAGAAAACUAAACUCCAACUCCCCAUCCCAUGAUUACAACGAGAUAUGGUAGGACUGCAGAAACGUGGAGGCUUGGGAACAUAAUAUGAACUUGUGAAGGUACAAAUGAUUAUAUUUGACAUUCAGUUAGUGCACCAAAUAUGCACAGUACUGUUUAUACUAUAGUGGCCUAGCUUGUAUAAUAAUAUAUAUGUAUAUAUAUGGAAAUAUUUUGAAAUUGGGUUGGGUAAAAUAAAAAUCCAGGUCAUGCAAUAGUUGGGUAGGGAAAAAAAUGGUUGAUCGAAAGGGUGGGUGGUUGUUUUUUUCUCUUUUCGAUUAAUUUCUCUUCGGUACCAACCCCGAGUAUAAAUAAUGAACACUCCCUAAUCCACUGCAGCCUAAGAAGAACUGACGCUUUCUUUGUUCAGCCCUCGUGAGAUUUCUUGUAGCCUUGAUGAAUAUUCCAACCUUGCUACUAGCGAUGAUGUUCCUAGUG